rnacentral:rRNA from 1 species
UACGGGGGGGGGCAAGCGUUGUUCGGAAUUACUGGGCGUAAAGGGCUCGUAGGCGGCCAACUAAGUCAGACGUGAAAUCCCUCGGCUUAACCGGGGAACUGCGUCUGAUACUGGUUGGCUUGAGUGUGGGAGAGGGAUGCGGAAUUCCAGGUGUAGCGGUGAAAUGCGUAGAUAUCGGGAGGAACACCAGUGGCGAAGGCGGCUUCCUGGACCGGUUCUGACACUGAGGAGCGAAAGCGUGGGGAGCGAUCCGG